AAUGAACGCUGGCGGCAGGCCUAACACAUGCAAGUCGAACGGAUCCUUCGGGAUUAGUGGCGGACGGGUGAGUAACGCGUGGGAACAUACCCUUUGGUACGGAAUAGCCUCGGGAAACUGGGAGUAAUACCGUAUGCUGUCGAGAGACGAAAGAUUUAUCGCCAAAGGAUUGGCCCGCGUUGGGUUAGGUAGUUGGUGGGGUAAUGGCCUACCAAGCCGACGAUCCAUAGCUGGUUUGAGAGGAUGGUCAGCCACACUGGGACUGAGACACGGCCCAGACUCCUACGGGAGGCAGCAGUGGGGAAUCUUAGACAAUGGGGGAAACCCUGAUCUAGCCAUGCCGCGUGAUCGAUGAAGGCCUUAGGGUUGUAAAGAUCUUUCAGGUGGGAAGAUAAUGACUGUACCACCAGAAGAAGCCCCGGCUAACUCCGUGCCAGCCGCCGCAGUAA
rnacentral:rRNA from 1 species